rnacentral:rRNA from 1 species
ACGCUAGCUACAGGCUUAACACAUGCAAGUCGAGGGGAAACGACAUCGAAAGCUUGCUUUUGAUGGGCGUCGACCGGCGCACGGGUGAGUAACACGUAUCCAACCUGCCCACCACUUGGGGAUAACCUUGCGAAAGUAAGACUAAUACCCAAUGACGUCUCUAGAAGACAUCUGAAAGAGAUUAAAGAUUUAUCGGUGAUGGAUGGGGAUGCGUCUGAUUAGCUUGUUGGCGGGGUAACGGCCCACCAAGGCGACGAUCAGUAGGGGUUCUGAGAGGAAGGUCCCCCACAUUGGAACUGAGACACGGUCCAAACUCCUACGGGAGGCAGCAGUGAGGAAUAUUGGUCAAUGGACGAGAGUCUGAACCAGCCAAGUAGCGUGCAGGAUGACGGCCCUAUGGGUUGUAAACUGCUUUUAUAAGGGAAUAAAGUGAGUCUCGUGAGACUUUUUGCAUGUACCUUAUGAAUAAGGACCGGCUAAUUCCGUGCCAGCAGCCGCGGUAAUACGGAAGGUCCGGGCGUUAUCCGGAUUUAUUGGGUUUAAAGGGAGCGUAGGCCGGAGAUUAAGCGUGUUGUGAAAUGUAGACGCUCAACGUCUGCACUGCAGCGCGAACUGGUUUCCUUGAGUACGCACAAAGUGGGCGGAAUUCGUGGUGUAGCGGUGAAAUGCUUAGAUAUCACGAAGAACUCCGAUUGCGAAGGCAGCUCACUGGAGCGCAACUGACGCUGAAGCUCGAAAGUGCGGGUAUCGAACAGGAUUAGAUACCCUGGUAGUCCGCACGGUAAACGAUGGAUGCCCGCUGUUGGUCUGAAUAGGUCAGCGGCCAAGCGAAAGCAUUAAGCAUCCCACCUGGGGAGUACGCCGGCAACGGUGAAAC